rnacentral:rRNA from 1 species
AGGGGUGAAAGUUAUUUCGCCCGAAGAGGAGCUCGCGUCCGAUUAGCUAGUUGGUGGGGUAAGAGCCUACCAAGGCAGCGAUCGGUAGCUGGUCUGAGAGGAUGAGCAGCCACACUGGGACUGAGACACGGCCCAGACUCCUACGGGAGGCAGCAGUGGGGAAUUUUCCGCAAUGGGCGAAAGCCUGACGGAGCAAUACCGCGUGAGGGAGGAAGGCCUUUGGGUUGUAAACCUCUUUUCUCAAGGAAGAAGCCAGUGACGGUACUUGAGGAAUCAGCAUCGGCUAACUCCGUGCCAGCAGCCGCGGUAAUACGGAGGAUGCAAGCGUUAUCCGGAAUCAUUGGGCGUAAAGCGUCCGCAGGUGGCGUAUCAAGUCUGCUGUCAAAGACUAGAGCUCAACUCCGGAAAGGCGGUGGAAACUGGUAGGCUAGAGUACGGUAGGGGUAGAGGGAAUUCCCAGUGUAGCGGUGAAAUGCGUAGAUAUUGGGAA